rnacentral:rRNA from 1 species
AUUGAACGCUGGCGGCAUGCUUUACACAUGCAAGUCGAACGGUAACAGGCCUUCGGGUGCUGACGAGUGGCGAACGGGUGAGUAAUGCAUCGGAACGUACCCAGAGGUGGGGGAUAACGCAGCGAAAGCUGUGCUAAUACCGCAUGUGAUCUGAGGAUGAAAGCGGGGGACCGAGCAGCAAUGUUUGGCCUCGCGCCUUUGGAGCGGCCGAUGUCGGAUUAGCUAGUUGGUGGGGUAAAGGCCUACCAAGGCGACGAUCCGUAGCUGGUCUGAGAGGACGACCAGCCAGAGUGGGAGUGAGACACGGGCCAGGCUCCUACGGGAGGCAGCAGUGGGGAAUUAUGGAAGAUGGGCGCAAGGCUGAUCCAGCAAUGCAGCGUGAAGGAAGAGGGCCUUCGGGUUGUAGGCCGCUUUUGGCAGGAACGAAACAAUGUCCGCUAAUACCGGGCGCUCAUGAAGGUACCUGAAGAAUAAGAACCGGCUCACUACGUG